UACGGAGGGUGCAAGCGUUGCUCGGAAUUAUUGGGCGUAAAGGGUAGGUAGGUGGUCUCAUUUGUCUGGGGUGAAAGCCUUGAGCUUAACUCAAGAAGUGCCUCAGAAACGGUGAGACUAGAGUUCUGGAGAGGGUCGUGGAAUUCCCGGUGUAGCGGUGAAAUGCGUAGAGAUCGGGAGGAACACCAGAGGCGAAGGCGGCGACCUGGACAGAUACUGACACUAAACUACGAAAGCGUGGGGAGCAAACAGG
rnacentral:rRNA from 1 species